UUUUGUUUUUUGUUUUUUAGUACAAGGCAAAGCCUUUAUUCCAACUUUUCAUUCCUAGGGAUACAACAUCUGAAGGACACACAUGGGGAUAAAAAAAGUAAUAUUGUUAUAAAAUGUCACAUUUAUUGCUACAUUACUGUUAUAUACAGGACAGUUCUCAAAAUCUACUUUAAAAAAGUUAGGAUUAUUUAAAAAUUCCAAAUAAUCCAGCCAGCUGUUUUGACACUUGUAUAAAAUUAUUUAAAAAAAUGAAAACAAUUCAUAUCUUGAGGCACUCAGAAACACAAUUUCAUCCCCCAAUUGUGAUUCAUUUCAAAGAGCAAUGCAUUUCCCACCCCCAAAUACUUUAUUUUUUUUUUUUGCUGGGUUAGGCAUAUAUAUAUAUAUAUUUACUAUAUAUAUAGUUCAAAACUAUAAUGUGUAUCUGAUUUAAGAACAAGGAUUUCAGCCACUUAAGUACAUCUGGAUUUACAGGUAGGCAGCAUAAACAUCAAAAGCAAGGACCAUUUUUUAUUUUAAAGGCCAAAAACCAAAAACAACCCAUAACUUUCUACAGGGUUAAAAAUAAACAACUUCUGCAGGCAUUUCCCAUCUGCUCUCCCACCCCCCAUUCCUACAAAAAUAUAAAGAACAUCCCAGGAAUGCUUUGUUUCCCCAGAGAGCUGGAGCACCCAACAGGUCAUUCCCAGCACUGGGAUCGUCCCUGUCCUGCCUCACCAGGCACCUCUUUCCCCUCUCCUGGUCCCAGCACUGGGAUCGUCCCUGUCCUGCCUCAGCAGGCGCCUCUUUCCCCUCUCCUGGCACAGGGACAGAGGCUGCUGCGUGGCUUCCCACGGUUCCUUCCCUCCCAGGUGCCUCCAUGCUGCAAGGUUUGCUCAAAAGCUGGGGGGUUCAAGUCAUUUGGGAAGACGUGGCCCUGCAAGGGGGACCCGCAGCGUCCCCAGCUCGCUGCCUCCAGGAGCUCCACGCUCGGCGGGCACGGCCCCGGGAUGUGGGGCACAGCUCAGGGAUGUGGGGCACAGCUCAGGGAUGUGGGGCACAGCUCAGGGCACAGCUCAGGGAUGUGGGGCA
rnacentral:lncRNA from 1 species